UAUCUCUGUAGAGUCUGCAUAUCAAUAAGCGGAGGAAAAGAAACUAACAAGGAUUCCCUAGUAACGGCGAGUGAAGCGGGAAGAGCUCAAAUUUGAAAUCUUAAAGGUUUCCCUUGACGAAUUGUAGUUUAAAGAAGUGUUUUCUGUUAGUGGAGUUCGGUAAAAGUUCUUUGGAAUAGGACAUCAUCAGAGGGUGAGAAUCCCGUAUUUGACCAGUUACUUUCCAGCUGUGUGAUACACUUUCAAAGAGUCGGAUUGUUUGGGAAUGCAGUCCAAAAUGGGUGGUAAAUUUCAUCUAAAGCUAAAUACUGGCGAGAGACCGAUAGCGAACAAGUACCGUGAGGGAAAGAUGAAAAGAACUUUGAAAAGAGAGUUAAACAGUACGUGAAAUUGUCAAAAGGGAAGCGUUUGACACCAGUGUUGUUUUCUCGAAAAUCAAUUAAAAAUGGUGGGAUUUUGUGUUGUAUUGACCUUUAUCAAGCUUUCUUCACUUUUUUCCUAUCUUUUUUAAUGCACUUUUCGUUUAACAAGUCAACAUCAGUUUCCUUUGUUGUAAAAGGGUCAUUGGAAGGUGGCUUUCUUUUCGGAGAAAGUGUUUAUAGCCUUUGCUCUCUGCAAUCGGAGAGAUUGAGGUCUGCAGCGUAGACUCCUUCGGGGUUAGAUACAUUUGUGCUAAGCUAUAGCCUUUUCAUAGACAACUUGUUGACUAUGACUCAGUCUAUGUAGCUUACUCGCUUAUGCUAUUUUACCUACGCUUAGGAUGUUGAGUAGCGACAUACGCAC
rnacentral:rRNA from 1 species